GCGCUGGUAGCUCAGUCGGAUAGAGUGCUUGGCUACGAACCAAGAGGUCGGGAGUUCGAAUCUCUUCCAGCGCACCA
rnacentral:tRNA from 1 species